AUACGUAGGUGACAAGCGUUAUCCGGAUUUACUGGGCGUAAAGGGUGCGUAGGUGGCACUUUAAGUUGGAUGUGAAAUCCCCGUGCUUAACAUGGGAGCUGCAUCCAAUACUGGAGAGCUAGAGUGCAGGAGAGGUAAGCGGAAUUCCUAGUGUAGCGGUGAAAUGCGUAGAUAUUAGGAGGAACACCAGUGGCGAAGGCGGCUUACUGGACUGUAACUGACACUGAGGCACGAAAGCGUGGGGAGCAAACAGGAUUAGAUACCCUGGUAGUCCACGCUGUGAACGAUGAAUACUAGGUGUAGGGGGUAUCAACUCCCUCUGUGCCGCAGCAAACGCAAUAAGUAUUCCGCCUGGGGAGUACGGCCGCAAGGUUGAAACUCAAAUGAAUUGACGGGG
rnacentral:rRNA from 1 species